CCCCUGGCUCAAAGAAGACAGACAGACCCCUGGCUCAAAGAAGACAGACCGACCCCUGGCUCAAAGAAGACAGACCGACCCCUGGCUCAAAGAAGACAGACAGACCGACCGACCCCUGGCUCAAAGAAGACAGACAGACCGACCCCUGGCUCAAAUAGAGUGAGGCCUCCUAUGGGCCACUCACACUCUGGUGAAAGUUAAAGUUGGUAAAGGGGGAAAGUUAAAGAAGAAAUGUAUAAAUGGAUUCCUUACAUUUGUCCAGCCGGGUUCGAUUUAGAAGGAUUUUGGUUCUAAAUAUUCAUGUUGAUAUUUUUGUUUCAAUCAAAAAUGGGACUGAUGUGGGUACACUUUGCUGAUUAUGCCAUAGGAUAUGUCACGCUGCUUGCUUGUCUGACCAAAAGGAUGUCGAAAGGGAAACUUUGAGAAUGUGUGAGUUGAAGCGAUAGGGAAAUGCAUCGUGAGAGUUGUCAGCUGGAUUCUGACAUUCCUCUCUGAUUUUAUUUGCCCAGAUGAUAUAAGACGUGUGACCUUUUUGUCCUCAACAUUUUCAAUAAUUUAUUAGACUUUAAAUACCAUAAUCAUGGUAACAAGUUGUUUUUCUCUUUUUCCAAACCUACUGUCAAUACCAACGUAUCUAUACAGUCAACUGGUGCAUGCUGGAAUUAAUUGUAUGUACCGGGUAUCAGAUCAGUAUGGAACUUGAGGAUACGCCAUGUUUGGACGAGGGGCCAUUGGGACAAUGUUAUUGGAUGAGUUUGUCCCCUCUGAGCUCGACCAAUGGCUACUAACACUCACCUUGUUCUAAGAUCUUGGUGUAAGGAACUUCUUCUGAACCGCAUUAAAUAUUUAUUACCAGUUAUGUACUGGAGCAACUCCUCAAUGUUUGUGUCUACAUACACGGAGUGUACCAAACAUUAGGAACACCUUUCCUAAUAUUUAGUUUCACCCCCUUUUGCCCUUAGAACAGCCUCAAUUCGUCGGGGGCAUGGACUCAACAAUGUGUCGAAAGCGUUCCACAAGGGAUGCUGGCCCAUGUUGAUGCCAGUGACUCAACCCAGUGUGCCUGGCACCUACUACCAUACCCCGUUCAACGACACUGAAAUAUUUUGUCUUGCCCAUUCAACCUCUGAAUGGCAUACACAUACACAAUCCAUGUCUCAAGGCUUAACAAUCCUUCUUUAACCUGUUUCCACCCCUUCAUCUACAGUGGAUUUAACAAGUGACACUAAUAAGGGAUCAUAGCUUUCACCUGGUCAGUCUUUUCAUGGAACGAGCAGGUGUUCCUAAUGUUUUGUACACUCAGUGUAUUUUUAAUUUAAGGAUACGUGUAAUUUAUUUGGUAAGAGGUAUUCAUGAUGUAUCUUUUUUGUAGAUUUAUGAGGAAACGUUUUCAUGAUACAAGUAACAUACAUUUAUAAUCAAUGUAUAUUAUGCCUGCCUUUUCUCUGAGCAGUUUAGUUUAAUGGGCACAUACACGCAUUAAAGACUAUUACUUGUAAUUACUUAAGAUUAUUACUUAUGAAAAGGUGUGUCAUACCACAUUUGCAUUUUACUGACUGAAUUACUUUUUUAAAAACAAAGUAGAUUUGACAAAUGUUUUUGUGUGAGGAUACUUAAUAAGAAAUACUAGCAUUGUCCUCAUCCAAAAUGAAAAGUUUACUUUUCAAAAACCUUUUCAUUUAUUGACAUGUGUACUUUUAUUUUCUAUGGUGGACACAAAGAAGCAUAUUUUUAAUGGUCUGUGAAAUUAAAGAGGAUACUCCAGUCAUCAUAUUUGGCCCUUGUCAUGU
rnacentral:lncRNA from 1 species